UGUCGGGAGGGAAGCGAAUAGGGGCCGGCGAUGCGUCCCGGUCGGAUGUGGAACGGCGAUAGCCGGUCCGCCGAUCGACUCGGGGCGUGGACCGGUGCGGAUUGGUGCGGCGGCCAAAGCCCUGGCUGUCGAUAGGCCUGUGGAGAUGCCGUCGCGUCGAUCGUGGUUGGCAGCGCGCGCCGUCACGGCGAUAUACCCGCGUGCCUCCCGGCACCGGCCUGUGGGCACCCCAUUCGGCCCGUCUUGAAACGCGGACCAAGGAGUCUAACAUAUAUGCGAGUGUU
rnacentral:rRNA from 1 species